CCACUAAUGACAUAAUGACCAAAUGAGCAACAGGUGUGGAAGCUGGCAACGGAUUGGACAGGACUCCUUUUUAAGUGAAGCAACGGCAGUAGGAAGAGCAAGGAACGCAACAACAUGGAUGAAGGAUGUAGGCCGGUAAGGAGCGUGACUGCGGGGAAGCAGGCAGAGGAGAUGGAGGUUCGAUGGAGAGAAGUGUGAAGAGAGCAGCAGUGGAAGUCGGCCAGCUCGUUGGGUGCUUAGCAGGGGGGGCAUCGAGCAGGAGGACGGCAGCUAUGAGACACCUAUGGGGAAGUAAUUGAUUGGACGGAACCGGCGCGGCAGCUGAGACGACGCGGCAGCCGAGACGACGCAGCAGCAGGCGACCGUGAGAGUAGUCGCUAUAGAGGCCUGCAAGAAGACGCCGGGCUGAUUCGGGCAGAGCCAGGAGCAACACGAGUAGACGACCGCAGCAGCCAGUAUCCGCCAACACGCUUCCACUCAGGCCUGGGCGAACGGUACGACUGUCGCCCGGGGAAACCGAAACGGACGAGCGGCGAGGACUGUGGAGCAGGCGGAGCGACCCGUGGAGCUACUGGGCCGUGGGACGGAGGAAUCCCCAGAGGGACUGUUUGCCGUGCCGGGAGCUGUCAAAUCACGAAACAUUUAGCUUUUAGAACUUAGCUUUUGUUUUUUAUCUGUGGCAUCACAUGGGUUUUGGUUAGGAUGUUUUAAACUUAUAAACAUUUUUUAAUUGUAAUAAAUUGUUAACAUUUA